GAUGAACGCUGGCGGCGUGCCUAAUACAUGCAAGUCGAGCGAACAGACGAGGAGCUUGCUCCUCUGACGUUAGCGGCGGACGGGUGAGUAACACGUGGAUAACCUACCUAUAAGACUGGGAUAACUUUGGGAAACCGGAGCUAAUACCGGAUAAUAUAUUGAACCGCAUGGUUCAAUAGUGAAAGACGGUUUUGCUGUCACUUAUAGAUGGAUCCGCGCCGCAUUAGCUAGUUGGUAAGGUAACGGCUUACCAAGGCGACGAUGCGUAGCCGACCUGAGAGGGUGAUCGGCCACACUGGAACUGAGACACGGUCCAGACUCCUACGGGAGGCAGCAGUAGGGAAUCUUCCGCAAUGGGCGAAAGCCUGACGGAGCAACGCCGCGUGAGUGAUGAAGGUCUUCGGAUCGUAAAACUCUGUUAUUAGGGAAGAACAAAUGUGUAAGUAACUAUGCACGUCUUGACGGUACCUAAUCAGAAAGCCACGGCUAACUACGCG
rnacentral:rRNA from 1 species